AUUCUUUUUAAACCGUGUUACGUAAAACGUAGAUUUUUUUUAUUAUAAAAUAUAUUACGAAUUUGUUUUUUUAAAUAAUGAAAAUAAAAACUUAAAAUGGGUAUAAAUAUCCGCUCUAUGGUACAAAAUAACUUUUUGAAGACAAUAAUUUUGGCUGGAUGGCUGACAAUAAACAUAUAUUUACUCACUUCAACAUAUUUACUAUACUACAAAUCAGACAAGUAUCAUUAUUUGUAUAUGGUUCUAAAGGAAUCUAUUUGUGUUUCUCGAGCAUGCGCCAUGGCUAUUAACUUUAAUUUAGCACUUAUACUUAUCCCGAUGUGCAAAACAAUAAUUUCAUGGAUUCGAACAAAGCUUCUAAAGUAUUUACACAGCAACCCUCGACGUUUGGUGAACCAUUUAAAAGGACUUCAUAUUUUGUGUGCAUUUACAAUGUGUAUCUUAUCAGUUAUUCACACACUUUCACACUUGGUGAACAGCUUGCGGUUUCAUUUAAACUUCACAGAAGCUAUAGAAGCUAUAAAUGUUGCUAGUUCAAAAAAAGAAACAACACUUUGGCUUGUUUUAUCAAAAGUUCCUGGUUGGACAGGGGUUGUCAUGCUUGUUCUUCUAGCUAUCAUUGUUUUGACUUCUUUUCAAGCUGUAAGAAGACAAAAUUAUGAAGUUUUUUGGUACACACACCAUUUGACAAUUGUUUUUUUAAUACUGGCUUGUUUCCAUGGGUUUGGAAAGAUAACAAAGUUCCAAACGAAUUUGGACAAAAAUCCACGUGAGUGUCACAGUUUGGUACGGAAAAUGUGGAAGGAAAACAGUACCAUUUGUUUAGAAGCCCCUUCAUUUGAAUCCAAUGUGCCACAGACUUGGAAAUGGAUUGUUGGUCCUUUAUGUUUGUAUAUCAUUGAUCGAAUCAUUCGGCUUUUUCGUGCUGUAAAAGAUUGCCAAGUUGCAAAUGUUAUACUUCAUGAAGACAAGAUGAUUGAACUGCACAUGCUUAAGAAAGGUUUUAAAUCUAAACCGGGUCAAUACAUACUGUUACAGUGUCCAGAUAUUUCUGAUUUGGAAUGGCAUGCUUUUACAUUAACUAAGUGUCCAACUAAUGAUGGUGGUGAUGAAACAUUUUCUGUAAAUAUGAAGGUAGCUGGGGAUUGGACAAAGAAACUAAAAGCAAAAUUUUUUAAAUGUAUUAAUACAAAAGGCAUCUUUAUGCAAAGAGUUGGUGAUAACUGUAUUAUUAAUAUUGACAAAAGCAUUGUUUAUGAUAAUGAAAAUGAAGAAAACGAUGAAAACGUUUUGCCUAUAAUACGUGUAGAUGGACCUUAUGGAAGUCCAAAUGAGGAUUGCUUCAGGUAUCCAGUUAAUAUUAGUGUAGCUGCUGGAAUUGGAAUAACUCCAUUUGCUGCUGUAUUGAAUAAACUCAGGAGUUUGGAUCCGAAGUUAGUUGAUAAGAACUUCAAAAUGAAGCGUAUGCAUUUGGUUUGGGCAUGUCGGGAUAUUCAAGAGUUUACUUGGUUUUUGCAGCUUAUGUUUGACACAGUUAAACAUGCGGUUUUCCACUCAGAAAAUUUCGUCAGGACAGACAAGAUGUUAUAAAAUUUUCCGAUCACGUGACCAAAUAAUUGAGCACGUUUGCUUUAACAGCUUUUAUGCCCGUUUCGAGGAAUUUCGAAAAGUGGAAAACCACCUUGAAAAUGACAAGAGUUGGUGUUUUUUUUUGUGGUCCAGGACCUUUGGGCAAGGUUCUAUAUGAUGCAUGUAAAAGUGUUAAUUUUCGAGGCAAUUCGUUUAUCUUUCACAAAGAGAGUUUUGCUUAAAAAUAAUUUCUUGUAUACUG
rnacentral:misc_RNA from 1 species